rnacentral:misc_RNA from 1 species
GGAUAAAGCUGAUAUGGAUGUUGAGACGUUUUACGAUGGGAUUUUAGCUGUUAUUGUUGUUAACGAAGGUGAAACUGCACUUGUUGGUGCUCCUAUUGGGUUAUUAGCUGAAACAGAAGAUGAAAUUGCUGAAGCUAAAGCGAAAGCGAAAGGACAAUCUGGGGGUUCUUCUUCUGGAUCGGAGAGUACUCCUGAACCUCAAUCUCCGGUUGUGGUUUCUUCUGAUGAGCCGAAGAAAAUUGUUGCAACCCCAAAUGCGAAGAAAUUAGCGAAGCAGCAUAAAAUUGAUAUCAAUAAAGUGAACGGGACCGGCCCAUUUGGACGGAUUACAUCGGAGGAUGUUGAGAAAGCUGCUGGAAUUACUCCGGCACCGUCCAAGAGUAUUAGCCCAC